CUCAGGGCUGAGUCUCUGGGGAAGGCAGAGCUGUGGUAGAGAAGAAGAUGAUUCUGCGGGGUCUUCUCCUCUGCCUGGUGACAGCCCCCCUGGGUGCUGUGUCUGCUCUGACCCUGCAGGAGUCGGGCCCAGGCCUGGUGGCCCCCUCCCAGACCCUCUCCCUCACCUGCUCUGUCUCCGGAUUCUCCAUCACAACCAGCAAUUACUGCUGGCACUGGAUCCGCCAGCCCCCAGGGAAGGGCCUGCUCUGGUUGGGGCGCAUCUGUUAUAAUGGAAACACCAACUACAGUCCAUCCUUCACGAGCCGCAUCUCCAUCACCAGGGACACGAACAAGAAUCAGUUCUUCCUGAAGCUGAGCUCAAUGACCCCCGAGGACACAGCUGUGUAUUACUGUGUCCAUUUGCAACCCCCCUGCAAGUAUCGUUGUACCAACUUUGAUCAAGCUUGUCACACUUUCUGCAACCUGUUAGCACUGAGCCUUAAUGAGAGUCAGGUCCGGAUCCAGCGUCAGUACCAGGACCCUUCCCCAUCGCUUCCAGAGCAGCUCCAUAUUCAGUGA